GCCGCCUCCUUCACCAGCAAAGUUUGUCAGUCACCACCUCUUUGUCGGGCUGUGAAUAUUUCAGUUAUUAUAAGUCUCUACAUUGCAGCAAAAUGUUUAGCUUAACACAAGUUAUGUCUUGAAUUUACACCUAUUUUUUUAACAGUGCCAAAUUGCAUAGUUUCAGUCAAUUCUACCAGAAAGACUGCCGAAGAUACAGCUGACAUUUGGAGGAACACUUCGUAUUAUAUAUCAGGAGGGCAGGAGUGGCUCCUCUGCUUGUUUCCUCUUGCAGUGCCCCCGGGGCCGGGCUCUUCACCUGGAACCGCGUCGCCAUGGCUGCGGAGGGCGGGGUUCCUGGCAGGCUUAUCUUCUGAGCCAAUCUUCCGCUGGCAGGUGUUGGCCCAUAACUUUCGCUGCCGGGAGACCAGCCCUCCGAACACAUUCCACGCAAGUCUCACCAAGCCAUUCCUUUCAUUGUGCGGAUAUCACUGCCACGAAAAAACAGGCAGAGACAGAUUUAGAGCUUUUAUGUAAAACAAAUGAACGACUCAUUUUGGGAAUUAUCCAGUUCGGCUAGUUCCCUUGCACGCCAACCAGGUGAAGAAAGGUUCUCUUUGUUCAGGCUAGUGGGAGCAUAAAAUGGCAUAUCUCAAACGUUAUUAUUUAUAUAAGUUUACCAAAGAUACUGUCCUGUUCAUAGGUCUUUCUUCAAUCUUUGUUUUGCAUUAAAGUAUAAAGCAUUAUUCACUUUUUCAAACUAAUUUGACACAAUCCACAUACAGUUACUGCAGGUACUUGGAGCCCCUUCAGCCCAUCUGGCUCCGUCUUCCACAAUUUUAGAUUUGUAAGCAUGACAUUACAUUACAUU